rnacentral:lncRNA from 1 species
GUUAUCAACAGGCAAAAUGACCAAAUUUUCUGAACAGGAAUGGAACUGAAAAUCUGUACGUUCAAAAUCUGAAGUAUCUUAUGCACAGAAAGAAAGCAUGAUAUGUCAUAGGUGAGAGAACCUGCCUCUGCUGCUUAGUCCACCACCGGAUACAGCUUGGUUUCCAUGUGUUUAUUCAUCUCAAAAACCUCAUAUCUUGAAAAUCCGCUGCAAGAU